rnacentral:lncRNA from 10 species
GGAGUUUUCGCUGGCUACUACGAGGCCGGAGCGCCCUUGGCCUCUCUGCGUCCCUGGCCCUCGUGCGGUACCGGCGGCGUCUUGUCAUACACUUGCGCACACACAGGGAAUCUCAGCGAGCAUCUUGUCUUGAGAUCCUGUGACAGCAUCUUUUGCCCUGGACUGUCAUGACCGGCCUCCCAAGCAGACUAAUGGUCCCAGGAAGAUGGUCACACCUUGCUCCCCAUACAGAACACCUAACUCUGGGCUUGGCUUCAGGCUUAGAACAACAGAUGAAGUUACGUGGCCUGGGCCCACACCCAAAUGCCCCAACUAGCUAACUCUGACUUUUGAGCCUUAGCCUCUCUUUAGCUUUGGUUGUCCCAUCUGUAAAAUGAAGAUAAAAGUGGAGCUUCUCAGAGGAAGAUUUAAUGAGCCCUCAGAGCAGGGGAAGAACUCAGGAAAAAUCUGCCUACAACCACUUCCUGGAACAACCUGCUUCCAAGUUGCUGUUCCUGAGGCGUGCCUUAAAACACUAACUUUGGUGGAAGCCCCAUGAAGCGUUUUUGUUUUGCUUUGUUUUGUUCCCACAGAAGGCUUUCAGCUUCUUCCUGGCCCUGGGAUACCAUAACUGGUUCAGAAGGGGAGGUCCUCCUAGCUAGGCGCAGUGGCUCAUGCCUGUAAUCCAGCACUUUGGGAGGCCAAAGAAGGUGGAUCACUUGAGGUCAGAGGUUCGAGACCAGCCUGGCCAAAAUGGUGAAACCCUGUCCCUACUAAAAAUACAAAAAUUAGCUGGACGUGAUGGCAGGUGCCUGUAAUCCCAGCUACUCAGGAGGUUGAGGCAGGAGGAUCACUUGAACCUGGGAGGCAGA